GAUGAACGCUGGCGGCGUGCCUAAUACAUGCAAGUCGAGCGAACAGAUGAGGAGCUUGCUCCUUUGACGUUAGCGGCGGACGGGUGAGUAACACGUGGGUAACCUACCUAUAAGACUGGGAUAACUUCGGGAAACCGGAGCUAAUACCGGAUAACAUUUAGAACCGCAUGGUUCUAAAGUGAAAGAUGGUUUUGCUAUCACUUAUAGAUGGACCCGCGCCGUAUUAGCUAGUUGGUAAGGUAACGGCUUACCAAGGCGACGAUACGUAGCCGACCUGAGAGGGUGAUCGGCCACACUGGAACUGAGACACGGUCCAGACUCCUACGGGAGGCAGCAGUAGGGAAUCUUCCGCAAUGGGCGAAAGCCUGACGGAGCAACGCCGCGUGAGUGAUGAAGGGUUUCGGAUCGUAAAACUCUUUUAUUAGGGAAGAACAAAAGUGUAAGUAACUCUGCACGUCUUGACGGUACCUAAUCAGAAAGCCACGGCUAACUACGUG
rnacentral:rRNA from 1 species